ensembl:lncRNA
AUACAACGAUAAUAAAUCAUGAACUUGUUAGUUUUGACUUUACCAUUUGACGCUACCAUUCUCCUCGGCUCCGGUGAACGGUUUGGAACAGAGUCAGAGGGUGAAUGGACGCAGAGAGGAUGGAGAGGAAACAGAGAGGGUAGAGAGGAAGCAGAGAGGAUGGAGAGGAUGCAGAGAGGUUGAAGAGGAAGCAGAGAAGGUGGAGAGGAAGCAGGGAGGGUGGAGAGGAAGCAGAGAGGAUGGAGAGGAAGCAGAGAGGGUGGAGAGGAAGCAGAGAGAGUGAGAGGAAGCAGAGAGGAUGGAGAGGAAGCAGAGAGGAUGGAGAGGAAGCCGAGAGGUUGGAGAGGAAGCAGAGAGUUGGAGAGAAGCAGAGAGGAUGUAGAGGAAAAGGCCAGGUGGAGCAGAAAGGGAAAGAGCACUCAAAAAGAAAGCCCUCUAAAAAGAAGCCGCGAAAAUGUAACAAAAUUACCGACCAGUUCAGGGCUUCAAAUGUAGGUCAGACUCAUCUGUAAAUACUGUAGCUUUGUGUUCGCUAACUUAGCUAAUCAAUUAUUAACCACAGUUUCACUACUAGCAAACGUUAGCACUAUUAUCAUCACUCAAAAUACACUAAAG